rnacentral:lncRNA from 1 species
AAGCACGCUGCCCGUGUAGGUUGGUUCCUGACUCCCGACCCUGACCUUUUCUUCCCUCAUCCAAGGAAACCCUUGUCUCCAUCCCUCCCACUCAUUUCAUCUUCAGGGCCCUUAUCUCCUCCUCAAAUUAUAAAUUUGUUCCAAAUCUCUUUCUCACUGAACUGUAAGCAACAAGAGGCCAGGCUCCCGUCUUCAUUUGCUCACUCUACUUUUUUUCACUUUUUCCAAGGCCCCGCAUAAUGACUGGAAAAGGACAGUUGUUAGAGAAACAAACAAGCAAGCAAACUACUAGAAAACUCCCUGUAUUUUCAACUUUCAUUACUGACUGUACUUUUUUUCAAGUACCAACAAUCAAGAUAUUUAGAUUGCAUGGAGGAACAAAAGUUUAAUUCCUCGUUUAAAAAAUUCCCUGUGUUGCAUUAAUUAGGAAUGUGGCAGCAAUAUGUUUUCUUCUAGUUCAUUUUUUUUCCUCGAGACAGACAUAUUUCAGUUAUGUACUGUGGCCAUCCAGUUUUUUGUGAGCUACUUGGAGUGUAACCGCUGUCUCUAACAUCAUUUUGAUGUCAAAAGGGAACUUACUGAGCCUGGCAUCGUUCUAAAUACUUUUGCAUAUUUAAAGCUAUUCCGUCUUCACAUAGCUAUGUAAAAUUGAUAUUUUUAAUUAUAAUUUUGCGGAAAAAGAAAUUAGAGGGGAAAUUAGAGAAGAUCAGAGAAGUUAAGUAGCUUGCCAAAGUCACACAGCUAGUGAAUAAAAUUAUUAGGAAGCUCUGUAUAACUCUAAAGCCCAUGCUUUCUCUGUCGUAUGAACUGACUUACAAGUAAAUAUUUUGAGACGGAGAAAAGAAGACCUCCUAAUUAAGUUCUAUUUUGGAUUAGUGGGAUCAACCUUCUGAGGAAACCAACAGUAAAAGUUGGACAAAAUCGUCGAUAAUGGAACUAAAACUUUUGUUCAGCAGAUUGGCCACCAGUUUUCACUGACAAAAUCCCACGUAGUUUUGGUGUGGAUGUAGCGACCGACUGUGUUUAACCAAAGAUAUGCCAAUCUGCUGUAAGUUUACUCACCAAUCAAAGCCAACGAUUCAAACCUGAUGACACGGAUGGUCAAAGGCUGGGAGCCAAGGCUGGCGGGCAGGUGUCUGAGGGAGCCUCUAGGCUCCGCAGAGGUGUGGAGCAGAGCCCCUGCUAGAUAUCACCCUGUGAUGACCCUGAGUAUUAGGGGCUGGGAAACUUGUCAAAAAAUAUGGAACUCUUAUGAAAGCAAUUCAGCCACUCCAGUUGAAUGGCAUCGUCUCUGCAGAGGGGCAUGUUUGCUUGACCACCAACCAUACGGCGGCUCUCAUCUCACAGUUUGCACACGGACGGAAUAUAAAUGAGAAAACAGUGGUUUAUAUUAAAGCAAGAAGAACUUCAGUUGGCUGCAAAUAAAGAAGAAUCUCUUGCAAAGCAGGGCAACUGGAAGGUAAAGCCCUCAUCGCAAGAAAAUAAGCCAGCCUUGAUGAGGUGUCAUCAAGAACAUCAUUUUUUUUAAGGAUUAUCAAACUCAAGUAGACACAUAUGACCACGUAUUUUGUGCCAGGCCUUUUCUGAGACUUUGGAAAUAAGUCUUUGCUCUUAAGGAGACGUGAAAGUUUUUAGUAGCAUCACUGGCAUAUAGAAAACUGACACACACAUGGACAAAAUUUUAACCUGAUUCUGAAUAUUAGAAUAUAGUCUCAAUCAGCACGAGCCACGGUAAUAUUCAGUAAUUGUAAAGAAAGUAAGUAAAGUAAGAAGAGGACUUUUAAUAUCUAAAUUUCAAAGCACACUGGGGAUUCAAGGCCUACCGACAUUACAUUUCUGAAAACUGGCUGCUGAUUCAGAGGACUUGGCCUGGGUAUGAGGACUUCCUUCAUCAUUUCUUGUAAGAGAGGUCUAGAGGUGAUGAAUUCCUUCAGCUUUUGUUUAUAUGGGAAAGCUUUUAUUUCUCUGUCAUAUUUAAGGGGCGUUAUAAAUCUCUGCCCUGAUGAACUCAGUGUGGCCAAUGGAAGGCGAGUAGAAGGCCAAGUUGCGUAUUGGCAGACAUUGUAAGAGCCAGAAUUUGCUACCCAUGUUCUCUUCCCUGCUGCCUUGAUCUUAGAAGAAUGUGUUGUGAUGUGGAGCCUUCAUUAACCUAAAUCUCUGAAUGACUACAGUGAACAGAGCCUGCUUGCCCACCCAUCCUUAAGGCACAUGGUGAGUGGGCAGAAAAUGAUCUUGGUUAUCUUGAGCCAAUGAUUUUUGAGGGUUAUUUGUUACCACAGCAUAAUCAAGCCUAUCCUAACUGACACGUGGGACCUAGUGUGGCAGUUCCCAAAGAGCUCUGAGAAUAACUCCUGAGAACCAGCUUUAAACAUCUACCAACCCCAGAGAACGAGGCCAGGUACCAGCCACGUUAGAAUUCCCGUCUCCUAUUCUUUCAUCACCCCUCUUCUGCCUCCAUCCUGGAAAAUCUUGGCUGGAAAGAGGGAAAUGAUGGACAUUAAAGAUGUGACUAUUUUGCAUUAUUAUCUAAGACUGUAUAAUCUAACUAUUGUGUUGGCAACUUAAUGUGAUCACAGGGCAAUUUGCAAGGCACCAGAAAAAAUAUGACACUGCCAGUGUUGAUCCAGUGGUGAGACAAAAAAAUUGUCCCUACUCACCUCAUCUCCGCCAAUUAAAAAACAAAGCUAAACUAAGCAAAUAAAAACAAAACAACCCAAAACUUUCCUCCAUGGAGCAGGAUUAUAGGAGAGUGGGAAACCAUAAAAAAUGAGACUCUUAAACACAUUUUAUGCCUUGUGCUUGUUUAACAUACCAGCUACAUAAAUAAAUCGAGAGAGUAGAUUUUAAGAUAAAGUUUUAAAUUGACUUCAGAACUAAAGUGUAUUUUUAAAUGCAAAUGAAUGGAUGGCACUUCUAUCUUGCAUUUAUAUAUAAAAACAAAAUUAGACAUUAAAGUUUAAACACUAA